rnacentral:tRNA from 2 species
UUAUUUGUUAAUGUAGAGAGCAUAAGAGGUUUUGAUUCUCUAAGCGUUAGUGCAAUUCUAUCACAAAUAAU